AUUAACUCAUUAAGAAUUAAUUAUAUAAUGUGUUACCUAAUAACUAAUAUUUAUAUCAGUCAACUAAUUAAAUUAACAAAUCAUCUAACUAAUUAAAUAAUUUACUAAUUAAUUAAAAAGUUAAAUUAUAUUUUAUAAUCAAUUAAACAAUAAUUAAUAUAAUUAACUAAUUUAAUAUAAUUUCUUUAUUAUCGUAUACAAUAUUCAAAGCUAAUAAAAUUUUCAAUUUAUUCAAUUAUGUUUAAUUAAUAUUUUGAUACUACUUAAUUAGAUAUGUUAAAAAUCGGAACGGCGAAAAAUAGAUCCAGAAAAUAAUUUAAUACAAGAAAAGAAAAGAUAAGGAAAGAACACACCGAUAUUUACGCGGUUCGGCCAACGGCCUACGUCCACGGGCGAAGACGGAGUAAAUAAUUUAUUAAUGUCGAAAAGGCGGAGUACAAAAAAAUCUCUCAAAAGACCAAAACUUAAUUUGAU
rnacentral:lncRNA from 1 species